rnacentral:rRNA from 1 species
GAUGAACGCUGGCGGCGUGCCUAAUACAUGCAAGUCGAGCGAACAGACGAGGAGCUUGCUCCUCUGACGUUAGCGGCGGACGGGUGAGUAACACGUGGAUAACCUACCUAUAAGACUGGGAUAACUUCGGGAAACCGGAGCUAAUACCGGAUAAUAUAUUGAACCGCAUGGUUCAAUAGUGAAAGACGGUUUUGCUGUCACUUAUAGAUGGAUCCGCGCCGCAUUAGCUAGUUGGUAAGGUAACGGCUUACCAAGGCGACGAUGCGUAGCCGACCUGAGAGGGUGAUCGGCCACACUGGAACUGAGACACGGUCCAGACUCCUACGGGAGGCAGCAGUAGGGAAUCUUCCGCAAAGGGCGAAAGCCUGACGGAGCAACGCCGCGUGAGUGAUGAAGGUCUUCGGAUCGUAAAACUCUGUUAUUAGGGAAGAACAAAUGUGUAAGUAACUAUGCACGUCUUGACGGUACCUAAUCAGAAGGCCACGGCUAACUACGUG